rnacentral:misc_RNA from 1 species
AAAGUCAAAUAGUGCGUGAAAUUGUUGAAAGGGAAACGAUUGAAGUCAGUCGUACAGACGAGUAAUCAGCCUAUGUUGAGCGCGAUUCUGUGGUACAUGAAUAGAUUUUAUGAUUGCAUAUUCGUUCUCUUCGGGUGUACUUGCUCGUAUGUAGGUUAACAUCAAUUUUGGUCGUCAUAAAAUGACGGGAGGAAUGUGGCUUCCCCGGAAGUGUUAUAGCCUCUGGUAGAUGUGAUGACUGAGAUUGAGGAUUGCAACGAAUACCUUCGGGCUAUCUGCCUGAUCUCUGGUUGUUGCUCUGGUGCUGAAAGCUUGCUUAUGGUUUCAGAGUUAAGCGGCCAAAAGGUUAGAACGGAUUAAAUUCGUUAAGGAUGUUGACGUAAUGACUUUAAACGA